UACGAAGGGGGCUAGCGUUAAUCGGAAUUACUGGGCGUAAAGUGUGCGCAGGCGGUGAUGUAAGACAGUUGUGAAAUCCCCGGGCUCAACCUGGGAACUGCAUCUGUGACUGCAUCGCUGGAGUGCGGCAGAGGGGGAUGGAAUUCCGCGUGUAGCAGUGAAAUGCGUAGAUAUGCGGAGGAACACCGAUGGCGAAGGCAAUCCCCUGGGCCUGCACUGACGCUCAUGCACGAAAGCGUGGGGAGCAAACAGG
rnacentral:rRNA from 1 species